rnacentral:rRNA from 1 species
CUCCCACCCGUGUCUACCACACCUAGUGUUGCUUUGGCGGGCCCACUCCUCCGGUGUUCCGCCGGGGGGGUCGUCCCGGGGCGCGGUGUGCCCCCGGGGCCCGUGCCCGCCAGAGGCACUCACUGUGAACGCUUUUGUGAAUGCGAGGAUUGUCUGAGUGACGAAAUGCAAUCGUUCAAAACUUUCAACAAUGGAUCUCUUGGUUCCGGCAUCGAUGAAGAACGCAGCGAAAUGCGAUAAGUAAUGUGAAUUGCAGAAUUCCGUGAAUCAUCGAAUCUUUGAACGCACAUUGCGCCCUCUGGUAUUCCGGGGGGCAUGCCUGUCCGAGCGUCAUUGCGAACCCUCAAGCACGGCUUGUGUGUUGGGCCGCCGUCCCCUCGUUUGGAGGGGACGGGCCUGAAAGGCAGCGGCGGCGUCGCGUCCGGUCCUCGAGCGUAUGGGGCUCUGUCACGCGCUCAAGGAGGGGUCCGGCCGGGGCCAUAGCCUCUGAAGGUCAAUUCUUCCAAGGUUGACCUCGGAUCAGGUAGGAGUACCCGCUGAACUUAAGCAUAUCAAUAA